rnacentral:rRNA from 1 species
AGAGUUUGAUCCUGGCUCAGGAUGAACGCUGGCGGCGUGCUUAACACAUGCAAGUCGAACGAUGAUCCCAGCUUGCUGGGGGAUUAGUGGCGAACGGGUGAGUAACACGUGAGUAACCUGCCCUUAACUCUGGGAUAAGCCUGGGAAACUGGGUCUAAUACCGGAUAUGACUCCUCAUCGCAUGGUGGGGGGUGGAAAGCUUUAUUGUGGUUUUGGAUGGACUCGCGGCCUAUCAGCUUGUUGGUGAGGUAAUGGCUCACCAAGGCGACGACGGGUAGCCGGCCUGAGAGGGUGACCGGCCACACUGGGACUGAGACACGGCCCAGACUCCUACGGGAGGCAGCAGUGGGGAAUAUUGCACAAUGGCCGAAAGCCUGAUGCAGCGACGCCGCGUGAGGGAUGACGGCCUUCGGGUUGUAAACCUCUUUCAGUAGGGAAGAAGCGAAAGUGACGGUACCUGCAGAAGAAGCGCCGGCUAACUACGUGCCAGCAGCCGCGGUAAUACGUAGGGCGCAAGCGUUAUCCGGAAUUAUUGGGCGUAAAGAGCUCGUAGGGCGGUUUGUCGCGUCUGCCGUGAAAGUCCGGGGCUCAACUCCCGGAUCUGCGGUGGGUACGGGCAGACUAGAGUGAUGUAGGGGAGACUGGAAUUCCUGGUGUAGCGGUGAAAUGCGCAGAUAUCAGGAGGAACACCGAUGGCGAAGGCAGGUCUCUGGGCAUUAACUGACGCUGAGGAGCGAAAGCAUGGGGAGCGAACAGGAUUAGAUACCCUGGUAGUCCAUGCCGUAAACGUUGGGCACUAG